rnacentral:rRNA from 1 species
AUACGGAGGGUGCAAGCGUUGUUCGGAAUCACUGGGCGUAAAGGGCGCGCAGGCGGUUUGGUAAGUCAGAUGUGAAAGCCCACGGCUCAACCGUGGAAGUGCAUUUGAAACUGCCAGACUAGAGUACCAGAGGGGAAAGUGGAAUUCCCGGUGUAGAGGUGAAAUUCGUAGAUAUCGGGAGGAAUACCGGUGGCGAAGGCGACUUUCUGGCUGGAUACUGACGCUGAGGCGCGAAAGCGUGGGGAGCAAACAGGAUUAGAAACCCUAGUAGUCC